rnacentral:tRNA from 1 species
GCAUUGGUGGUUCAGUGGUAGAAUUCUCGUUUGCCAUGCGGGAGACCCGGGUCCGAUUCCUGGCCAACGCA